UGAUGGUGGUGAUGAUGAUGAUGGUGGUGAUGAUGAUGAUGAUGAUGAUAUCAAAUAUUUUAUAUCAUCAUCAUCAUCAUUACAGCCUAU
rnacentral:pre_miRNA from 1 species